AAAAGCACCCCGACGAGGGGAGUGAAACAGUACCUGAAACCGAACGCCUACAAUCAGUCGGAGGCUCCUUGCGAGCUGACGGCGUACCUUUUGUAUAAUGGGUCAUCGACUUGGUCUCACGAGCAAGCUUAAGCCGUUAGGUGUAGGCGUAGCGAAAGCGAGUCUUAAUAGGGCGUAUGAGUUCGUGGGAUCAGACCCGAAACCGAGUGAUCUAGGCAUGGCCAGGUUGAAGGUAAGGUAACACUUACUGGAGGACCGAACCCACAUCUGUUGAAAAAGAUCGGGAUGAGCUGUGCCUAGGGGUGAAAGGCCAAUCAAACUCGGAGAUAGCUGGUUCUCUGCGAAAUCUAUUUAGGUAGAGCGUCAUCCGAAUACCCCGGGGGGUAGAGCACUGGAUGGGUAAUGGGGCCCCACAGGCUUACUGAUCCUAACCAAACUCCGA
rnacentral:rRNA from 1 species